rnacentral:rRNA from 1 species
UACAGAGGGUGCGAGCGUUAAUCGGAAUUACUGGGCGUAAAGGGUGCGUAGGUGGUGACAUAAGUCAGGUGUGAAAUCCCCGAGCUUAACUUGGGAAUUGCGCUUGAGACUGUGUUGCUAGAGUGUUGUAGAGGAAAGUGGAAUUUCCGGUGUAGCGGUGAAAUGCGUAGAUAUCGGAAGGAACACCAGUGGCGAAGGCGGCUUUCUGGACAGACACUGACACUGAGGCACGAAAGCGUGGGUAGCAAACAGG